CCUGGUAGUCACGCGUAAACGAUGAGUGCUAAGUGUUAGGGGGUUUCCCCCCUUAGUGCUGCAGCUAACGCAUUAAGCACUCCGCUGGGGAGUACGACCGCAAGGUUGAAACUCAAAGGAAUUGACGGGGGCCCGCACAAGCGGUGGAGCAUGUGGUUUAAUUCGAAGCAACGCGAAGAACCUUACCAGGUCUUGACAUCCUUUGACAACUCUAGAGAUAGAGCUUUCCCUUCGGGGACAAAGUGACAGGUGGUGCAUGGUUGUCGUCAGCUCGUGUCGUGAGAUGUUGGGUUAAGUCCCGCAACGAGCGCAACCCUUAUUGUUAGUUGCCAUCAUUCAGUUGGGCACUCUAGCGAAACUGCCGGUGACAAACCGGAGGAAGGUGGGGAUGACGUCAAAUCAUCAUGCCCCUUAUGACCUGGGCUACACACGUGCUACAAUGGACAGUACAAUGAGCAGCGACACGGCGACGUGAAGCGAAUCUCAUAAAGCUGUUCUCAGUUCGGAUUGUAGGCUGCAACUCGCCUACAUGAAGCCGGAAUCGCUAGUAAUCGCGGAUCAGCACGCCGCGGUGAAUACGUUCCCGGGCCUUGUACACACCGCCCGUCACACCACGAAAGUUUGUAACACCCAAAGUCGGUGAGGUAACCUUCGGGAGCCAGCCGCCUAAGGUGGGAUAGAUGAUUGGGGUGAAGUCGUAACAAGGUAACCA
rnacentral:rRNA from 1 species